AAUAAAAUAAGUAUAAACAUUAAAUUUUUCUUUACUUGUCACUACUUACCAUUUCUCCUAUCGAAAAUUAAAAUAUAUUUGUCAUUAUAAAAGAAAAAAACAAAAAAAAUAAUUAUCAAAAAAUGGAUUCACCUAACAUUUGCUUAGAGAUAAAUGCAGGAAAGUGCAUUUAUGACGGAAAAACUGUAAAACCAGAUAACAGAAAAGGGAAGCUAGUCAUUUAUAAAGUUUAUGAUAAUCUUUAUAAUUUACAAUGGAUUAAUAGAGAAAAUAAUAAAGUUGAGGUAAUAAAAAAAAAAAAAAAAAUACAAGCCUAUUUAUUGUCUACAA
rnacentral:lncRNA from 1 species